rnacentral:lncRNA from 1 species
AAUGGAAAUAAAAACACCAGCGGGAAUCAUUUACUGUUUUCCCUACCUUAGAGUAUAAUUAUAUGAUCGCUUCACGGUUCUUUCCCUGAAGAUGUUUGGUAUAUGCUCAUCUUGUGCAUUUUUACCCUUUAGCUAAUUGCCCCCCCCCCCUUUUUUCCUUUUUCACUGUUCUCCUGUGUUGAAAGAGCUUCUAAUGUUCUUGCAGUCAGGGGCAAAAAAACUCACAAAAAUAUGAGCCCAAUGACCAUGAUCCGCUUGCAGCAAAUCUGGCUAAUUCGCUCUCUAUUGGGAAUAUUCCUCUUGGCAUGUUGGUUAUCCCUUUGCACUGAACUGCAUUAUUGAAUCGAAAGGUAGCUAUAUCAUGGGAGUGUAAAAUUUCAUAUUUAUUCACAGGGUUGUGGAUUAUUGUUAUUUAUUGUGAUUUAGAAAGUUUAAUUUUAGUGACAUUUGGUUUUAAUGAGUUCGACAAUAACCCGCAUAUGCUGUUAAUCAGAAGUUAUAUUACACAGUUUCAUCUUCGCUAUUGUCGCGGCAUAGUGUGACAGAAGUUACUCCAGUUGUAUGUAUGUAUCAUCCUUUUCCUACUCAAGUAUCGAGUGGCUGAUAUGUUGCUCUCACCUACAUCUUCUCUUGCAGGCACCUUUUUUUUAGCUGCAAUAUUCAUUUGGAUCUCUCAGCAACAUAUCUUUUCUACUUAAUACUCUACAUGCAUAAUGUUACUGACUUGUUUCCAGUCUAUCUGAAUUUUGUAUAGCUUUUAGAGUGCCUAUUCUCAUGAGCUAAUUCUGAUAUUUUUUGUAGAGCUUCCAUAUUAUCAUUAGGAAGAAUAAGGCUGUCAAGUAUAGCUUUUAGAGUGCCUAUUCUCAUUAGGAAGCAUUAGCUUUGUCUCAGAAGUUCUCUGUAAUGAUCAGCUAUUAGCUAUCAUCGAUGUUUCCAGAGAAUUGUUUCCAAUUGUCUGUCAUCUCAAAUUCUCAAUUGUAUUUAUGAGCAGAUAAAACAUCUACUGUAACACUUGCUGGUAUGAAUUACUUGGCUAUAUUUACGUAACUUGUAC